AAAUUGAAGAGUUUGAUCAUGGCUCAGAUUGAACGCUGGCGGCAGGCCUAACACAUGCAAGUCGAACGGUAGCACAGAGAGCUUGCUCUCGGGUGACGAGUGGCGGACGGGUGAGUAAUGUCUGGGAAACUGCCUGAUGGAGGGGGAUAACUACUGGAAACGGUGGCUAAUACCGCAUAACGUCGCAAGACCAAAGAGGGGGACCUUCGGGCCUCUUGCCAUCAGAUGUGCCCAGAUGGGAUUAGCUUGUUGGUGAGGU
rnacentral:rRNA from 1 species